rnacentral:rRNA from 1 species
AGAUGCGAGAGUAGAGCAUAUCAAUAAGCGGAGGAAAAGAAACUAACAAGGAUUCCCUUAGUAACGGCGAGUGAAGCGGGAAGAGCUCAAAUUUGAAAUCUUCAAGGUUCUACCUUGACGAAUUGUAGUUUAAAGAAGUGUUUUCUGUUAGAUGAGUAGCAAAAGUUCCUUGGAAUGGGACAUCAUAGAGGGUGAGAAUCCCGUAUUUGGUUAUUCAUUCUAGCUUUGUGAUACACUUUCAAAGAGUCGGAUUGUUUGGGAAUGCAGUCCAAAAUGGGUGGUAAAUUUCAUCUAAAGCUAAAUAUUGGCGAGAGACCGAUAGCGAACAAGUACCGUGAGGGAAAGAUGAAAAGAACUUUGAAAAGAGAGUUAAACAGUACGUGAAAUUGUCAAAAGGGAAGCGUUUGACACCAGUGUUGUUUUUCCGAAAAUCAAUUACGAAUGGCUUGAUUUUGUGUUGUAUUGACCUUAUCAGCUUUCUGCACUUUUUUCGAGUCUUUCUUAAUGCACUUUUCGGUUAACAAGUCAACAUCAAUUUCUUUUGUUGUAAAAGAGUAUUCGGAAGGUGGCUUUCUCUUCGGAGAAAGUGUUUAUAGCCCUAUACUUCUACAAUCGGAGAGAUUGAGGUCUGCAGCGUAGAUCCUUCGGGGUUAGAUACACUUGUGCUAAGUUGUAGCUUUUCAUAGACAACUUGUUGACUAUGUUUAGUCAUGCGGCUUACUCGCUUGUGCUAUUUUACCUACGCUUAGGAUGUUGAGCGCAUGUCUCUCUCU